rnacentral:rRNA from 1 species
AUGGGGCGGCUAGGGAAUGAUCCGGUCGAGCGUGUCUCGGAGCUUCCUGAUUCUAAUACAGGGACCUGGGAUUGUGAAAAAGUACGACAGAACUUUCUUGCACCUGAUGCAGAGGCCAUAUUAAACAUCCCUAUUCGGCGCAACGGUGGAGAAGAUUUCUUGGCAUGGGCCUUUGAAAGAUCUGAAGAGUACACUGUAAAAUCAGCCUACCGUGCUCUUGUGACUCAGAAUGAGCAUCGAGCUCUAGAGGAAGGGACGGUAGAGGGAACUUCAACUUCUCAAAAACAGUUGUGUGCUGCUCUAUGGAAACUCAAGGUGAUCCCAAGAGUUCAUGUUUUCAUGUGGAGAGUUCUCAGAGGGAUACUUCCUGAUUACGCCAACAUGAAAUACCGUCAUAUCCGCACUAACUCUUUGUGCGAAUUGUGCAAAGCAAUGGAUAAAGACCUCUUCCAUGCAUUGGUUCAUUGCUCACACGCGCAAGCUUUCUGGUCUGCAGCAAAGGAAGUCAUUGGUCUCAAACUUCCAGGGCUGCAUCCUGACACAUGGGCGCGAGACUUAGUGGUUGACACUAGCUUCUCAGACUUGGACAGAUGCAAGAUCAUUGCAUUAAUUCAUUCGAUCUGGACCUCUGGGAACAGCUGGACACACGAUGAGGAAGGUUAUGACCCCGCCCAAGCAAUCAAAUGGGCUCGAGAUGAACUAGCUAUACUCGACAUGCCUCUGAUCCAACGACAAAGCACGAGGAUUCAGAAGUGGAAGCCACCCCAGCCCAGGUGGAUCAAAAUCAACACGGAUGGUGCACUUGACACUCAACUCCGGGUGGGAGGCGCGGGAGGAGUUCUCCUAAUCUCCUCCAACUCCAAAUAG